AUCGCUUCUCGGCCUUUUGGCUAAGAUCAAGUGUAAAAAUUUAUUGUUCAUUUAUUUUGUGCCAGUGUAUUUUUUUUUUUUUUUUAAGAUUUAAUUUAUUUAUUUGACAGAGAUUACAAGUAGGCAGAGAGGCAGGCAGAGAGAGAGGGAGGGGUUCAGGCUCCCUUCCGAGCAGAGAACACAAU